UUCUGCAUAUUUUCAAAUUAAAUAUGUUGAGGCUUAUAGUAUUUUAGAAUAUUAGAAUUUGAGAUAAUCGUAUAGUUUCUUGAUAUCUUGUGUCUUGGCAUACUUGGAAUCCCCUCUGUGUUUUGAAAGUGAACUUUUAGCUUCACCGACUUUUUCACCUUUGGUAUGAUAGAGUCUACUUUUUGCUAUUUUUGCUCUCUUGAUUUACCUGCCAAGUGGCAGGCACAAUGGGCAAUUUUAGCUCAGCUCAUCUGAAGAAAUUCAUCACUGAGACCUACAAAAAUUCCCUGAAAGGAACAGAGAAAGCCGAGGCGUUCUCACUUUCAGUUCUCACUUUUGCCAGUUGGAUGGGACAGUGACUUUAAGGAUAUAACAAUACAACUGACACGAUUAGGUGUUUGUUUAAAUGAUUUUUCAUUUCAAGUUUAUCUUUGUUUAAGCUGACCACAGCAAAUAUUUGAUGUUACCAGUUAAAUAUCUUGCAGUCUUUUCACACUUAAAACUUUUUCAGCCUUAAGUUUCUGCCUCCUUAUCUGUAACCUGUACAAGGGUUUUCCUCUCUGUCUCUUCCAUCACGGGAUGGUGUCUAGGCACAUGGGAAGGGCCAUCUUGUCCUUGCAGUUGUCACUGGUUGGUUGAGGGCUCUUAUAUUGUUUAAUGUCAAGCCAGGUCUUCUGUGGUUAUUGAAAAUUAAGUGUCUUUUGCAGGUCAUUCUCACACCUCUGUUGAUCUUCACUGUUGCUUCAAGCCAUAAGCUUACCUUUCACUGUGAACUCUGGCCCCAACCCCAGACCUACUUCUGUCCACCAAUCCUACAGCUUCCCUUGGUACUUGUGCACUCCCUGCUGCUUUCUCUCCACUAGCUGUUCUGUGCUGGACCCUGUGAGGUCAACUUUGCCUGGUCACCUCCUUCACCUUUGCCAUUUGACUGUGCCCAGGUCAUAUUGAGCACACUGCCAGGAGGAAGAUUGAGCUUGGAGGACAUGAAUGAGGAGAAGCUGGGGGUCUAUAGCAAUGAUUUUAGAAUCAUUGAUCCAAAGUUGGAUGCUUUCCUCAUAUCUUCUGCAUUUCCCUGAAGAAGUUUCCAGGACCUCUCUAUCUCCUUUAUAUUAUAACCUCCUACUUCCUUCUCCAUGGCUUGUUUCAGUCUUCCAGAAUUGAUGCAAUGACUUCGUUUAAAUUAACGGGUAAUGUGAAAUAGUCUAGUUGCCAAAUUAAAGAGAAAUAAAAAGGAGCAAGUAAAACUAAUUUUUUUUUUUUUUUUUUUGAGACGAAGUCUCACUCUGUCUCCCAGGCUGGAGUGCAGUGGCGUGAUCUCGGCUCACUGCAACCUCCACCCUCUGAGUUCCAGCGAUUCUCCUGCCUCAGCCUCCUGAGUAGCUGAGAUUACAGGCACCUGCCACUGCGCCUGGCUAAUUUUUUGUAUUUUUAGUAGAGACAGAGGUUCACCGUCUUGGCCAGACUGGUCUUGAACUCCUGACCUCGUGAUCCACCCUCCUUGGCCUCCCAAAGUGCUGGGAUUACAAGUGUGAGCCACCGCGCCCGGCCAAGGAAAACUGAUUUUUUAAAUAUUUUUAUUUAGCCUAAAACAUCUGAAAUAUUAUCAUUUCAACAUGUAAUCAAUAUAAAAAUUUAUUGAGGUAUUUUACAUUCUCCUUGUCUUCUUUUUUUGGGAGGGAAUGGGUACAGAGUCUGGAUCCCAGAGUGUGUAUUUUUCCCUUACAAUACACCUCAGUUUGGACAAGCCACAUUGCAGGACUAGAGGCUACCAUAUUGGACAGAAUGAGUCUCGGUCAUGAAUGAGGAAGCUUCUAGAUAAUUUUAAAAGAAAAGCAAAAACAAUAAAUAAACUCUUAGGAUGGUGCGGCUUUGCCUGUCUACCUUAGCAUUUCAUUAACUCCAGGUGCCUGUUUCCCACUGCCACUUGAUAUGUAAAAUUUGUCUUCCACUCAACCAGGCAGAUUUUUGAUCACAGAAAUUAAGCCUCUGGUUUCCUCUCAAUCCACCCAAACACAUAGCACACUGCUGACCUCACAGCAGGUACUCCAACCAACCAAUCCCUGAAUUAAAAACUGAUUACAGGCAGUUGCUCGAUGCCUUGCCACUUCCACUUUCAGUGAGUCCAUUUUAUUUGUCUGACAGCAAAGCUCCAAUUCUGUCUUCACCCCUACCAACCCAUACUUUUACAAAUUGCUUUUUAGCUUAAUGUUGAAACAGCCACGCUUUAAAAAUAUCAUUUCAUUAUGUACAGGUUGGCAAUCAAGAAAGAAAAAUUCCCAUAGGACUCAAAUGAAGCAAAUCUUAAAAUUUCGGACUGAAGCUCUGGAAUGGUCAAUCUGAUUUUAAUGCUCUCAAGAGUCCACAUAAAAUAUAUGGGCUUAGCAAACUUUCUGGGAAAACCCACUCAAAGAGAUGACUUAUUGAUGUAUGGAUGAAGCAAAAGUGACUCCCAGAUUUUAUCCAAAAAUAUAUCUAAUGAUAUAUGAAAAUGAUCAUUCUAGUUAAAUAUAUUCUAAUGAUUUGAACAUAUCUAAAUAAGUCGGUUCUAUCCCUCAUAAAGUCUAAUGACAAACUUUGGAGACUUAAAAAAGUAUGAAAAAUAAAAGUCAAACUCUGGAGGGUGAGGCAGGAGAAUUGCUUGAACCUGGGUGAGGGAGGUUGCAGUGAGUCGAGAUUGUGCCAUUGCACUCCAGCCCUGGCAACAUCCGUCUCAAAAUAAAUAAAUAAAUAAGAUAAGAUAAAAUAAAAUAAAAUAAAAAAAGAUGAAUAACAAUUGGCCCAUACAAUUUUUACCCCAGCAAGAGGACGUUUUGUUAAAUGGCCAGCAUUGGUUAUUGAUACAACACAUCUUUUUAAUUCCCCUUAAAGCUGCACUUUCCUCUCUGUUCCCUGCCAUCCAUCUAUCCAUCUGGAUUGCUGGAAUGGCCUCCUGACAAGUCUCCUUGCCUUCUCUGUGCAUCCCCACCCGGACAUUUGUCCUCCAGGCCAGUGUUUCAAACUGUCUGGUUUUUGGUUUGUUUCAUUUUUGAGACCGGGUCCUUCACCCAGGCUGGAGUGCAGUGGCAUGAUCAUGAUCACAGCUCAUUGCAGCCUUGACCUCCCUGGCUCAAGUGAUUCUCUCACCUCAGCCUCCCACAGAAUACUGGAAUUACAGAUGUGCACCACCACGCCCCAGUAAUUUUUUUGUGUGUUUUUAUUUAUUUAUUUAUUUGUAGAGACAAGGUUCGUGUUGCUCAGGCUGAACUCUCCACUUGUUUUUCAGUUUCUAAUUUUUUAAUUGGCAUAUAAUAAUUGUACAUAUUUAUGAGGUACAUAGUGAGUUUUGAUAUAUGUCUAGUGAUCAAAUCAGGGUAAUUAGCAUAUCUAUCACCUCAGAAGGUCACCAUUUGUUUUGUUGGGAACAUUCAAAAUCCUGUCUUAUAUAUAUUUGAAAAUAUACAUAAUUUUUGACUACAGUCAUCCUACAUUGCUAUCGAACACUAGAACUCAUUCCUGUCAUCUAGCUGUAAUUUUGUGUCCUUUAACAAAUUCCCCCAUGCACCCGCCCCGCUACUCUUCUCAGCCUCUAGUAGCCACUGUUCUACUCUACUUCUAAGAGAUCAAUGUUUGUAGCUUCCGUAUGUGAAUGAGAACAAGCAGUAUUUAUCUUUCUAUUCCUGGAGAAGAGCAGGCUUUUUCCUGAAUACAUUGCUGUCCAAUAUUACUAUAAAACAUAAUACAAAUGAAUUAUUAGAAAAAUUAAAUGAGAAAAACCCAGGCAUGCAAAAUAUUAAAAAAUAUUUAAAACAUUAUUUUAAAAAUUUAAAUAAUUAUUAAUUUAAAUAGACUAAAAUUGCUCUCUCAACUUGCUCUGUAAGUUCCCCUAUUUACUCUCAGUUUCUAUACUUAUCUUCCUGUGGAAUUUUAAAACAGCUUGGUUCAUAAUUCAGGUAGCAUUGAUAUAGAUCCGCACAGUCCAAUGCUGUAGCCAGUACUCACAUGCAGAUGUUUAAAGUUAAAUUUCAAUUAGUUUAACUUAAAUUCAUUAAAAAUUCAAUUCCUCCAUUGAAUUAACCACAUUUCAGGUAUUCAGUAGCCACGUAUGGCUAGUGAUAACUAUAUUGGACAUCACAGAUAUGGAACAUUUCCAUCAUCGCAGAAAGCUUUAUUGAACAGUAUUGCUGUAGACCCUUGCUACUUACAGAGUGGUCCAUGAGCCAGCAGUUCUUACUUCACAUGAGAGCUUGCUAGAAAUGAAGAAUCUGAGCUGGAUGCAGUGGUUCAUACCUGUAAUCCCAAUAUUUUGGGAGGCCAAGGCGGGGGUGGGUUGCUUGAGUCCAGGAGUUUGAGACCAGCCUGGGCAAUAUGGUGAGAGCCCAUCUCUAUAAAAUAAAAUAAAAUAAAAUAAAAUAAAAUAAAAUAAAAUAAAAUAAAAUAAAAUAAAAUAA